rnacentral:rRNA from 1 species
UGAGGAAUUUUCCACAAUGGGCGAAAGCCUGAUGGAGCAAUGCCGCGUGCAGGAAGACGGCCUUCGGGUUGUAAACUGCUUUUGUAGAGAAAGAUUAUGACGGUACUUUGCGAAUAAGAGCCUGCUAACUACGUGCCAGCAGCAGCGGUAAUACGUAGGGCUCGAGCGUUAUCCGGAUUCAUUGGGCGUAAAGAGUGCGUAGGCGGAUUGGUAAGUCAAAUGUUAAAUACUUCGGCUCAACCGGAGGAAAGCAUUUGAAACUGCCCAUCUAGAGAGUGGUAGAGGCAGAUGGAAUUCUCGGUGUAGGGGUAAUAUCCGUAGAGAUCGAGAAGAACACCAAAGGCGAAGGCAAUCUGCUGGGCCAUCUCUGACGCUGAGGCACGAAAGCGUGGGGAGCGAACGGG